UGGGGAAUAUUGGACAAUGGGCGAAAGCCUGAUCCAGCCAUGCCGCGUGUGUGAAGAAGGUCUUCGGAUUGUAAAGCACUUUAAGUUGGGAGGAAGGGCAGUAAGCGAAUACCUUGCUGUUUUGACGUUACCGACAGAAUAAGCACCGGCUAACUCUGUGCCAGCAGCCGCGGUAAUACAGAGGGUGCAAGCGUUAAUCGGAAUUACUGGGCGUAAAGCGCGCGUAGGUGGUUCGUUAAGUUGAAUGGGAAAGCCCCGGGCUCAACCUGGGAACUGCAUCCAAAAGUUGCGAGCUAGAGUAGGGCAGAGGGUGGUGGAAUUUCCUGUGUAGCGGUGAAAUGCGUAGAUAUAGGAAGGAACACCAGUGGCGAAGGCGACCACCUGGGCUCAUACUGACACUGAGGUGCGAAAGCGUGGGGAGCAAACAGG
rnacentral:rRNA from 1 species